GGGAGGUAGUGACAAUAAAUAACAAUACGGGGUUCUUUAGGAUCUCGUAAUUGGAAUGAGUACAAUUUAAAUCUCUUAACGAGGAACAAUUGGAGGGCAAGUCUGGUGCCAGCAGCCGCGGUAAUUCCAGCUCCAAUAGCGUAUAUUAAAGUUGUUGCAGUUAAAAAGCUCGUAGUUGAAUUUCGGGGUUAGUAGGUUGGUCAUGCCUCUGGUAUGUACUGGUCUCACUGAUUCCUCCUUCCUGACGAACCGUAAUGCCAUUAAUUUGGUGUUGCAGGAAAUCAGGACUGUUACUUUGAAAAAUUAGAGUGUUUAAAGCAGGCUCGCGCUUGAAUACAUUAGCAUGGAAUAAUGAAAUAGGACGUUGAUCCUAUUUUGUUGGUUUCUAGGAUUGACGUAAUGAUUAAUAGGGAUAGUUGGG
rnacentral:rRNA from 1 species